rnacentral:rRNA from 1 species
GACGAACGCUAGCGGCAGGCUUAACACAUGCAAGUCGAGGGGUAUAAGGAGCUUGCUCCUUAGAGACCGGCGCACGGGUGCGUAACGCGUAUGCAAUCUGCCUUUCACAAAGGGAUAGCCCAGAGAAAUUUGGAUUAAUACCUUAUAGUAUAUAGAUGUGGCAUCACAAUUAUAUUAAAGUAACAACGGUGAAAGAUGAG